GAUGAACGCUAGCUACAGGCUUAACACAUGCAAGUCGAGGGGCAUCAGGAAGAAAGCUUGCUUUCUUUGCUGGCGACCGGCGCACGGGUGAGUAACACGUAUCCAACCUGCCCUUUACUCGGGGAUAGCCUUUCGAAAGAAAGAUUAAUACCCGAUGGCAUAAUGAUUCCGCAUGGUUUCAUUAUUAAAGGAUUCCGGUAAAGGAUGGGGAUGCGUUCCAUUAGGUUGUUGGUGGGGUAACGGCCCACCAAGCCUUCGAUGGAUAGGGGUUCUGAGAGGAAGGUCCCCCACAUUGGAACUGAGACACGGUCCAAACUCCUACGGGAGGCAGCAGUGAGGAAUAUUGGUCAAUGGGCGCUAGCCUGAACCAGCCAAGUAGCGUGAAGGAUGAAGGCUCUAUGGGUCGUAAACUUCUUUUAUAUAAGAAUAAAGUGCAGUAUGUAUACUGUUUUGUAUGUAUUAUAUGAAUAAGGAUCGGCUAACUCCGUGCCAGCAGCCGCGGUAAUACGGAGGAUCCGAGCGUUAUCCGGAUUUAUUGGGUUUAAAGGGAGCGUAGGUGGACUGGUAAGUCAGUUGUGAAAGUUUGCGGCUCAACCGUAAAAUUGCAGUUGAUACUGUCAGUCUUGAGUACAGUAGAGGUGGGCGGAAUUCGUGGUGUAGCGGUGAAAUGCUUAGAUAUCACGAAGAACUCCGAUUGCGAAGGCAGCUCACUGGACUGCAACUGACACUGAUGCUCGAAAGUGUGGGUAUCAAACAGG
rnacentral:rRNA from 1 species